AUACUUACCUGGAUGGGGUCAAUGGGUUAUCAUGAAGACCCAUGGCCUAAGAAGGUGACCUCCAUUGCACUUAGGAGGGGUGUCUUCUUAAGGUCUACCCAAGUGGUGGAGCCUGCAUCAUAAUUUGUUGCUGAGGGGGCCUGCGUUCGCGCGGCCUCCAC